rnacentral:lncRNA from 1 species
GCCUGGUCCCCAAGGGCAUCUUAUCUGCCUCAACAGCUUGUAAACUCAGAGGCACAGCCCCUGCCUGGUGCCAGCCUGCAGGAAACAGGCCCUGUGCCCAGAGGCAGCGGCGGAGCCCACCCACUCACAGGCCCUGCCCGGCCCACAGCCUGCCACACGCCCUCCUGGGGGCCUGCCCGGACGUGUCCGCUGCCCACUCUUCAGGCCCCCAGGCCCUGGACCCCACUCCUCCUCCCCCUCCCCUCCCGAGAGCCUGCGAUCCACCCGGGCAGCGCCCGGUCCUGCUUGGCCCUUGGCUGCAGACUCACGGGACCCAGUGCUGGAGCUCAGGCGUGUUUAUUCCCGUACGAAUCAUUACAAAACCAAGAUGGGGCAGUCGCCGCCCCCAGCACCCCUGUGCACCCGCUUCCAGCCCCGCCCUUUCAGGCUCUGGCAGAGCAGGGCGCACACCCGCCCGCCCACAGAGCCCCGACUUCAGUAAAGUGCCUGAUUAGGGCCAGGAGCCAGGGACACAGCUCCUGGCUCCCUAGAGCCGUCCCAGGCCUGGCGCCAGGGAGAUCCUCGGAAGCCCCUGUCAGCCUCACAUGGAGACCCCGUGGAACCCCAGUUGGUCAGGGUCCCCCUGUCUCAACUCCAAAGGCUUCUCCGACAGGUGGAAAAGAGAGGCCUGGCCCUUUAAGAGCCAAGUUCUCCGCAGCUGGGCUGAGGGGCCCAGAAGACUGUUUCAAAGUUUGUCCCCUCCCUGUGGAGUCCCCCAAGCCUGGGAAGUUUACACAGAAAUUCCUGAAAGUAUUCCUCAAGGAGGCGGUGAGAGGCACCCCAGGUCCCCCCUGCCACCACUGGGGGCUCAGCAGUGGCUCGGGGGGCGGGGCUCCGGUCCCAGGGAAAAUGGACCCGGCGGGACUCAGUGGGGGAGGAGGGUCUCCGGGCCCGCAGAAGCUGCCCGGGGAAGGGGCUUAUCCAACACGGCCCAGGACACAGGAGCCAGGAGCUGGACGGCAGCCUCUGAGCUCUGGGGCCUCCCCACAGGCUCCUCCCUCCUCGGGAGCCCGGGGCUCUGACCCCUGCAACCCCUCCGGAUGCUGGCACUUGAAGGGGCAACACAAAACUCCCUGCUCCCUGGGACAGGACCCCCAGUGUCCCAGCCACAAACCAAGAGACCUGGGGGCCAUUCUUGGGGCUCUGAACCAAGGCCUCAUGGGAAAGGCUGUGUCUGCCUCAGAUCGACUCAGAAGCACCCCAAAACCCUGA